GACGAACGCUGGCGGCGUGCUUAACACAUGCAAGUCGAACGGAAAGGCCCUGCUUUUGUGGGGUGCUCGAGUGGCGAACGGGUGAGUAACACGUGAGUAACCUGCCCUUGACUUUGGGAUAACUUCAGGAAACUGGGGCUAAUACCGGAUAGGAGCUCCUGCUGCAUGGUGGGGGUUGGAAAGUUUCGGCGGUUGGGGAUGGACUCGCGGCUUAUCAGCUUGUUGGUGGGGUAGUGGCUUACCAAGCCUUUGGCGGGUAGCCGGCCUGGGAGGGUGACCGGCGACAUGGGGACUGCGAUACGGCCCAGUCUCCUACGGGGGGCAGCAGUGGGGAAUAUUGCACAAUGGGCGGGCGCCUGAUGCAGCAACGCCGCGUGCGGGAUGACGGCCUUCGGGUUAGAAACCGCUUUCGCCUGUGACGAAGCGUGAGUGACGGUAAUGGGUAAAGAAGCACCGGCUAACUACGUG
rnacentral:rRNA from 1 species